rnacentral:lncRNA from 1 species
UGGCAAGCAGGUCCGGAUCGGUUAAUCCUUACUCAGACUUGAGUAAACAAGUCGUUUAAUUUCCCUCAGCCUCUGUUUCCUUAACUGUAAAAUGGGCAUUUUAAUAAAUCCCACUUCGCAGGCUGGAUUACAUCGAUGGAGCAACUAGCAAAGCUUAACACACCUUCCUUGGUUACCAAAUCCCUCUUCUCUCUGAAUCGUAGCAGGUUACAGAGCAAACGGACGUGUUUUGUCACAAAGAGCAAGAAUUCCGCUCCAGGAGAGCACUUCAGACUUUGUCCUUGGAAGGGACACAGAGAGACACAAAAGGAAGAUGCUGUGAAGACACAGAGACACACAGGGAGAACGCCAUUUGACAACAGAGGCAGAGAUUAGAAUGAUGCAUCUACAAGCCAAGGGGCGCCAAGAGUUGCUGGCAGCCACCAGAAGCUGGAGCAGACGCUCUCUCAGAGCCUCCAGGCAGAACCAGCGCUGCCCAAGCCUUUAUUCCGGACUUCUGGCCUCCAGAGCUGUGCGAGAAUGAAUACCUGUCAUUUUAAGCCACCCAGUGUGCAGGACUUUGUCGCAGUAGCCCCAGGAAACGAAGGCACCUUGUCAGUGACAUUUUGGCCCCUUACAAAUCGCUGGGCUGGCUGGCUGGUUGGCAGCUUACUUCCGACUUGAUGCCAAGGUCGUCUGUGAAGGACUGUCCCCCAGUGGAAGCUGUGCUGUGUGGAGAUUUGAAAAUCCAGCUAGGCCCUUCCAGGUGUGUUCUGAGUGUCCCCGUCUCUGGGAGCUGGUGUGAUUCUGUCAACACGGGCACUGUUGAUGAUGGCGACAGCUGUGCCCUUUGAGCCCGGAGGAAAGGCGCAGUUAUGGAUUCAGGUCAUGCUCGCUACACUUGGGGCCAUAAACUAUUGUUCACCAAAAUAUGAAGGACACGGGGCUGGGGGCAGAAACACAGCCGCUCCAAAGGGAGGCUCUGCUCCCCUUCUGCUGGCAUGGAGACCUGCAGCAAGGUCCCCAACACCACCAUUUUCAGGGAAUCUGUGUUCUGCACCUCCCGUGUGACACUUGAAAGCAAUCGGGCGUCUCUCCUGGGGCCUCUUCACUUGCCUGAGAAGUUCCUUCUCCAGACCCUCAAUUAGCCGGCUCCUCCUCCUCCUUGGGUCUGUGCCAAUGUCACCUCCUCCAAGAGGCCUCUGUGACCUCCAUCUCUAAGUACUUCCCUCAGGUCCCUCCCGUCUUCAUCUGCUUUGUCAGAGCCGUCACCCCCAUCUGAAAUGACCUUGUUCAUGUGUUGCUUCUUUAGGGUCUGUGUUCCCCAUUAGAAUGGAACAGCCACAGGGAUUUUUGGUCCAUUCUUGGCUCCCCAGCUUCUGUAACGUGCCUGGCACAUGGCAGGUUAAUGUUUGUUGGUGACGCAAUGUCUCAGCCAGGAAUCUACAGCCACAGAGAAAGAACGUCCUGCCCAGUCUUCCUGCCUUCAGCCUGGCUCCCUCCUCUCACCCUCCUACUGCUCACACCAUGAUUUUUCCAAACCAGAAAUCAGCCAGGUCACUCUUCUGCUCUAAGAUCUUCGAGAGCUCCCCAUUGCCCCCAGGUGAAGUCAAAUCACCGUAGCAAGACUCAACGGGCCCUCGUGAGUGGAGCCCUGCCUUCCUCCUGGGCACUCACAUCCUUCGUUUCAGCAGAACUGAGUCACUCCCCAGAGCGCGUCAUUCAUGCCAUUCCCGCUGGCGGCAGUUCCCCGCCCGCCGCUCCUCCCCAUUCAGCCGACAGCCCUCAUCCUCACUAAUCUCAGCGUAAGGACCACCACCUCUAGGAAGCCUUCCUGGCCCUCUUUCCAAACCUGCUUUAAUGAUUCCUUCUCUCUCAACUCCCCUCUGCCUUGUCACCUGUAUUGUAAUCAUUGUCUUUUUAAACUAAAAUAUGAUUUAUAUUCAGUAAAAGUCAUCCUUUUUGAUAUUCAGUUCUGUGAGUUCUGGCAAAUUCAUAAAGUUGUGGAAUCUCCACCAUGAUCAUCAAACUGUAAAACAAUUCCACCAUCCCCUCCCCUGAUUCCUUUAUGCUCUUUCGUAGUCGACCCCUCCUCCCAGCCCCGGCGGCUGGCGACCGGUGAUCUGGUUUCUGUCCCCGUGGUUUGCCUCCUCUGGAAUGUCGUGUCGUGGAAUCGUCCUUCUGGACCCUUUGAUUCUGGCCUCUUCCCUCCGCAGUGCGUGUGAGAUGCGUCCUGGUGCUGUGCCCAGCAGUGGUUUCCCUUUGAUCGAUGAGGCUGUUCCGGUGUGUGGAUGUCUGUUUAUCCAUCUGCUUGUUGAAAGACAUUUGGACCGUUUCCCACUUUCUCUGAUCAUGAAUAAAGCUACUCUAAACACCAGCGAA